rnacentral:rRNA from 1 species
UUCCAGACUCCUACGGGAGGCAGCCGUGCGGAAUAUUGGUCAAUGGCCGGACUUCUGAACCAGCCCCUUCUCGUGAGGGCCGCCUGCCCUAUGGGUUUUCAACCUCUUUUCUCCGGGAAGAAUCCCUGCUACGUGUCUCCUUAUGCCUGUCCCUUCUGGAUAAUCCUCUUCUAACUCCUUGCCCGCAGCCGCUUUCCUACGGAGGCUGCUCUCGUUAUCCGGAUUUAUUGGGUUUAAAGGGUGCGUAGGCGGGGUUUUAAGUUAGGUGUUAAACGUCGGGGCUUCACCUUGAUUUGCCAUUAAUACUGUAAGACUCGAGUUCAGACGAGGGAGGCGGAAUAAGUUAAGUAGCGGUGAAAUGCUUAGAGAGAAAUUAGAACGCCGAUAGCGAAGGCAGCUUACCAGACUGCGACUGACGCUGAAGCACGAGAGCGUGGGGAGCGAACAGGAUUAGAUACCCUAGUA